GGGGGGGUGGGAUUUAACUUUAAUUUUUAUUUUUUUUACACAGGGAAGCAGAUCAGCACUGAUCCGUCUCCCUGCACUUCACACAGAACCCGGAAGUGCAGGGAGGCGGAAGGUGAGUAUGUGGAGCACAUGUGCUCGCUCUGACAUGCUGUCAGGGCGAGCACCGGUGCUGGGGCAGCCCGAUCGGGUGCUCCCGGUCUGCCUCUAAUGCAGAGGCAGACCG